rnacentral:rRNA from 1 species
CGCUGGCGGCGUGCCUAAUACAUGCAAGUAGAACGCUGAAGGAGGAGCUUGCUUCUCUGGAUGAGUUGCGAACGGGUGAGUAACGCGUAGGUAACCUGCCUGGUAGCGGGGGACAACUAUUGGAAACGAUAGCUAAUACCGCAUAAUAGUAGUUGUUGCAUGACAACUGUUUGAAAGGUGCAAUUGCAUCACUACCAGAUGGACCUGCGUUGUAUUAGCUAGUUGGUGGGGUAACGGCUCACCAAGGCGACGAUACAUAGCCGACCUGAGAGGGUGAUCGGCCACACUGGGACUGAGACACGGCCCAGACUCCUACGGGAGGCAGCAGUAGGGAAUCUUCGGCAAUGGACGGAAGUCUGACCGAGCAACGCCGCGUGAGUGAAGAAGGUUUUCGGAUCGUAAAGCUCUGUUGUAAGAGAAGAACGAGUGUAAGAGUGGAAAGUUCACACUGUGACGGUAUCUUACCAGAAAGGGACGGCUAACUACGUG